rnacentral:tRNA from 1 species
GGGCCAGUAGCUCAAUUGGUUAGAGCACCAAGCUUAUACCUUGGCGGUUGAUGGUUCGAGUCCAUCCUGGCCCA